AAUAGUUCUGGACCCACUUCAGUCACACCUUGGGUGCAAAAAGUUGAGUUUUUCCUGGUUGUACUGUAAUUUGUAUAGUAAAGAGAAACAAAAGCUUCAAUGGGAAAAAGAAAGACGAAGGUGAAGACAAAGUCUUUUGUGACUUUGUGAGCAUUCGCUAGACAACAAGUCUAAGUCCCUAGAGAUGAUUUUGGACCUCAAGAAUUCCAAGUCUUCAGUCAAAAGUUCAUGUUCUCAUACUGUAAGUACUUGAAAGUUCUAGUCUUUCAGUAAUUUUAUAGAGACAACAAGUCAUGAUUCAUUUUUUAACUUUUUUUAAUCUUCUGUUCUGAGUAACUCUAUUAUAUUUGAAAAAUAAGUGUUGGUUAAUAUGCAAUAUUGUAGUUUUGAAUUGCAUUGUGUGCACCUACAUGACUUGUGUAGUUUAUUAACUUAUUUGAUAGUUAUGUUAGAGAUAUUCUCCAUCACAAUCUGUCAAUGUAGUUCAAUCAAUCACCAAUCUCCAGCUCAAAUCUGACCAGUACACAACAUGUGUCACCCCUGUUGUUCUUUGAAUUAGCUCCUCCCAAUCGUAUCUUUCCCGAGAUGAAAGAAAAGAUUGACAAUUUUCCAUAAUGUCUCAAAACAAGGAGGCCAUUAAGAAAGUUGUCGAUAUGAUAAACAUGUGCUCAAAAAGACCUCCUAAACCCCCCGCCAAGCAAUCAGGUUUUUUCUUUCUUAGAAUUAGAAGAGAAGGAUUGAAAUGGCUGUUUCAAACUUAACGUCGUACCUGCCUAUUCAUCUCGAGCUAAAAUCUAUUUCGUUAGGUGUAAAGAAGAAGCUACACAAUGAAUAUUCAGUCAAUAAAGAAAUCUAUUCAAGUGGAGUCAAUGCAACAAUAUCAAGAGGGAAAAACUUACAUGAUGUCUGCACCAUACUAAGAAAUUUAACAUUAGGAGUUACAAAUUUAGGAGAAAAUACAUAUUAGUUAACAGUUAACACUGAUUCCGGGUAAGCUUUAUCUGUACCAAAAGAUAUGGAACUCUUUUAUCUUGUUAUAAAUAGCUAUAUUUACCUUUAUUUGUUAUGCAUUUCUCACUACGAGGAUACUGAUAAUAUACAUUUAAGUGUUCCUUAUUUAGAAUAAGUUUCUUUAAUAUCCAUGUAUUUGUAGAUAUAUGACUAUCAGUAGCUAAUUUAUUCCAAAUAUAUCUUGUGAAAGCAUAGCUUUUGAUUUUUUAAAAUUAAAUUUAAAAAUGAAUUAGGGAGUGAAAUUACUUAGUACUAAGUGAUUAGUCUCAGCCUACUUUCUAGAGAAGUUGGAAACUGUAUUCAACUCCAUAUUAUCGUUGGACAUUAAUUUGGCCUAGGCUAGCAUCCCACAGAAUUUAUCAGUUUUAUAUUGAGUUAAUAUCUCAAAAUGUCACUCAACUUUUAGAAUUUAUCUAGUAAAGUCAUUAAACUUUGUUUUGUAUCAAUAAAAUCACUCAACUUAGAUUUAUGUACCAAUAAAAUCACUCAACUUAGACUUAUUGAUACAAAAUAAAGUUCAAUGACUUUGCUAGAUAAAUUCUCAAAGCUGAAUGAUCUUUUGAGAUAUUAACUCGUUUUAUAUUGCACUAAACAAAGGGAAAACAUACUUAGAUAGUUUUAAUUUGACUGCUUUUCGUAGCUAAUCGGGGUCUACCUUAGCUUGACUCUCAUCCUAGAGUUCAUAUGAAGACACGGGUGCAUUGUGUAUGAUAAGAUCCCCCUAAUAAGUGUUGGAAGUCAGAUAGUGUACUUGAUGAUUGAAGGAGUAGGUGUUUACGGAACUCUUUUUUUUUUUUUUUUGGUUAUAAAUAGUUGUUUUCCUCUUUAUUGGUUUUGCGUUGCUCACUAUGAGGACACCGAUAUCAAUUUAAAUGAUUUUUAUUUAUGAAAAGUUUCCUUUAUAUCCAUUUAUUAACCAUCAAUAGUUUACUUAUUUCGAACAUAUAGAUAUGUUCCAAACAAAAGUUUAUUUUUUGGUUAAAAAAGAACUUUCAGGGAGUGAGAAUUACUCGAAAUAGUACGUAAUUGGUCUCUAUGAAGAGGUUUUCUUGCUACGCCCCAACCUAUGUCUAGAAAAGUUGGAUAGUACAUUGAACUCCAUGUUAUCAGUUGUACAUUUGUUUUACCUAAUUGGAAGAAAUUAUUUUCUAGCAUCUCAUGCUAUUUUAACAUUUUUAUAUUCCAUUAAAUAAGGAAAACUUUGAUAGCUUUGAAUUGACCGCUUCUCAUAGUUAAUCUGAUGAUGAGUUCACCUUGGUUCUCAUCCUAGUUAUUAAGACUCUGGUGGUUCUUUGUGUAUGAUAAGUCCUUCAUAAGGACCAAAGAUCAAUGAUGAAAAGUCAACAGUGUACUCAAUGAUCAAAGAAGCUAUUGACUUGCGAUAACUUUAAUUAUCAAGUACAUUAUUGAUCACUAGGCCACACUAGUAAAUUACUGUGAUUUGGUGUCAAUAGCGAGUAUGAAUAAAAUUUUACCCAUUCAUAAUUCUUCCUUGGAUAAUGUGAGCAGAGAACUAUAAAAUAUUACUUUAUAAAACAUGAGAAUUAUUCCUCAUGAUCAAGAAGAAAUGAUAGAUGUGUUUUUUUUUUUGUACAUAGUCAGCAUAUUUGGGGGAGGGGGGAGGGGGUUUCUGUUGUGAUCUGUUAUUUAUAGGUAAACACUUUAUAAAAAAUUGCAACAAUUCAUGUUGCUUCUAAAGUCAUUGCAGAUGUGGCAGCAUCUUUUGAUAGAUACCAAUGUCCAUUCCAUGGUAAGCAAGUGGUGCAUACAUCCAAAGUUCAUCUGAGCUCAGUAACUGUAGAAAUGGAAGAAAUAUUUAGUAAAUUAUGUUAUUCUCCGUCCGGUAUUCAACCAAAGCAAAUUAAGAAAAGGAAAAAAAAUGAUAUGUGAAGGCUUAUACCUUAAUUUGAAGCUGCAAAAACUUCACAUAAGUAACUGCUUCUUCAAGCAUUGUGCUAAUGUCAACCUGAUGUAUAGCAAAAAAGAGGGGAAAAAUCGAUUAGAGGAUUUAUUUUAUCAAUCGUUAAGAUGAAGUAUUAUGAUUUUAAGUAUUGUUACCUUUGUGCCAUUAGGAACAAGGUUCUGCAAGAUUCUCAAUCUUUCAUUGAUUCUUUCUCUUCUUCUCUGCAAUUUUCGCAAAUGGAAAUACUAGUUAACAUUUUGAAUCUACGAACAAGUUAUUAUUGAACAAUAAACGAAUGAUGCUGGUGUUAAUUAUUAUUACCCUUGCAUAAAGGCUUUGUGGAUCUGUUGCAGCUCCUCUGCUAGCUCUUGACUUUCCUUUGGUGUUUGAAGAUACCGUGCCUCCAUUUAGUUCUUGAGAUGCAUUAGAAUCAUCCUCAGAGCUGCAGCAACUUGAGCUUUGUGCAAUUUGGUUAUCUGCAUUGUUGUUAGUCUCUUCUUCUCCUUCUUCAUUGUUAAUUUGAGUCAUUUUCUGAUUCUUUUUCCCCCUUUUUGGCUGUGCCUUUUUCUUAGUACUUUUCUGUGCCUGCAUUGAGUAAAUGGUAGAAUCCCAUUAGUAUAAAAAGAAGAUGUUAUUCUAUCACGCUUGUUAAAGUUCUAAUUUAACUCACAUCUUGUGAACCCCGCGAUUUCUUCUUGGGAUUUUCAGGUGCUAUUUUGUCACACUUCCUUUUUAACUGCAUUUCCUUGUCUGAAACAGGGGAAAUUCCAGCAUUGUCCAAUUGAUCACAUACCAUUUCAUCUUUGUAGGUCAUGUCAGCUUGAAAAUCUUGAUUAAUACACAAAUUUUCAAGAUUUUUACUGUCCAUAUCGAAGAAAUCAAUGGACUGAUACUCAUCAGGAAGGUUGUUGUUGAUUGCUACUUGAAGGAGCUGGUUAUUAACAUCAUCA
rnacentral:lncRNA from 1 species